AAUGCCCUGACUGUCACUCUGUGUUCUCCUAGCUCCUGCUGACAACCCAGAGGAGUUUACCGAUGGCAGCCAGGAGGAGGAGGUGGCCUCUGAUAUGGAAACCUUUGAGGCCGAGUGUCACCACCGUACGUAUUCUUUUCCUUUUAAAGAGUUACUGAGACGUAGUUGACAUAGAAACCAAUUCACCCAUUUCAAGUAGGUGAUUCAGUGUUUUUACUCUAUUUACAGGGUUGUGCAGCCAUUGUCACAAUCUAAUUUCAGAACCUCUUCAUUCCCCCUCAAAAAGCCCCAUUAGUAGUGACUCCUCUGUUUUCCCCAACCCCCACACCCCUGGUUCUAGGCAGCCCUAAUCCACUUCCUGUUUCUAUAGCCAGUGCCUUUCUGUAUUCACCGGUUGUUCAAAUGACUAUUUCACAUUGAUGAUGUUGCCCUAGCUAGGAAGCCAAGGCUCUUUCAUUUCUUUCUGCCCCUCCCCUUUGCCUUCCUUCAGCACAAAGGAGAAUGGUCCAGCAGCAGCUCAGUCCAUGCUUGUCAACCGCCCAGCUCCACACACUCCAGCCCCACUCCACGUUCCCCAAAGCUCCUUGUGGGAUUCCUCAGCAGCACCAAUGCCCUGACUGUCACUCUGUGUUCUCCUAGCUCCUGUUCGAGACCUGGAGGAGUGUAUCCUUGGCAGCCAGGAGGGGGAGGUGUCAUACUAUGUGGAAGACUAUACAGUCCAGCGUUACUACCGUAUGUAUUCUUUUAUUUAAAACAGCUUUGAGAUAGAGUUGACAUGCAGAC
rnacentral:lncRNA from 1 species